UACGUAGGUGGCAAGCGUUGUCCGGAAUUAUUGGGCGUAAAGCGCGCGCAGGCGGUCUUUUAAGUCUGAUGUGAAAGCCCACGGCUCAACCGUGGAGGGUCAUUGGAAACUGGGAGACUUGAGUGCAGAAGAGAAGAGCGGAAUUCCACGUGUAGCGGUGAAAUGCGUAGAGAUGUGGAGGAACACCAGUGGCGAAGGCGGCUCUUUGGUCUGUAACUGACGCUGAGGCGCGAAAGCGUGGGGAGCAAACAGG
rnacentral:rRNA from 1 species